rnacentral:rRNA from 1 species
AGUGAACGCUGGCGGUAGGCCUAACACAUGCAAGUCGAACGGCAACACAGUAAGAGCUUGCUCUUACGGGUGGCGAGUGGCGGACGGGUGAGGAAUACAUCGGAAUCUACUUUUUCGUGGGGGAUAACGUAGGGAAACUUACGCUAAUACCGCAUACGACCUACGGGUGAAAGCAGGGGAUCUUCGGACCUUGCGCGAUUGAAUGAGCCGAUGUCGGAUUAGCUAGUUGGCGGGGUAAAGGCCCACCAAGGCGACGAUCCGUAGCUGGUCUGAGAGGAUGAUCAGCCACACUGGAACUGAGACACGGUCCAGACUCCUACGGGAGGCAGCAGUGGGGAAUAUUGGACAAUGGGCGCAAGCCUGAUCCAGCCAUACCGCGUGGGUGAAGAAGGCCUUCGGGUUGUAAAGCCCUUUUAUUGGGAAAGAAAAGCAGCAGGUUAAUACCCCGCUGUUCUGACGGUACCCAAAGAAUAAGCACCGGCUAACUUCGUG